rnacentral:lncRNA from 1 species
CUCGUCCUCUGUCGUCCCCUUCUCCUUGUGCCCUCCAUCUUUCCCAACAUUAGGGUCUUUUCCAGGGAGUCUUCUCUUCUCAUGAGGUGGCCAAAGUAUUGGAGCCUCAGCUUCAGGAUCUGUCCUUCCAGUGAGCACUCAGGGCUGAUUUCCUUAAGAAUGGAUAGGUUUGAUCUUCUUGCAGACCAUGGGUCUCUCAAGAGUCUCCUCCAGCACCAUAAUUCAAAAGCAUCAAUUCUUUGGUGAUCAGCCUUCUUUAUGGUUCAGCUCUCACUUCCAUACAUCACUGCUGGGAAAACCAUAGCUUUAACUAUCCGGACCUUUGUUGGCAAGGUGAUGUCUCUGCUUUUUAAGAUGCUGUCUAGGUUUAUCAUUGCUUUCCUCCCAAGAAGCAGAUGUCUUUUAAUUUCGUGACCGCUGUCACCAUCUGCAGUGAUCAUGGAGCCCAAGAAAGUAAAAUCUCUCACUGCCUCCAUUUCUUCCCCUUCUAUUUGCCAGGAGGUGAUGGGCCCAGUGGCCAUGAUCUUUGUUUUCUUGAUGUUGCGCUUCAGACCAUAUUUUGCGCUCUCCUCUUUCACCCUCAUUAAAAGGUUCUUUAAUUCCUCCUCACUUUCUGCCAUCAGAGUUGUGUCAUCUGCAUAUCUGAGGUUGUUGAUAUUUCUUCCGGUAAUUUUAAUUCCAGUUUGGGAUUCAUCCAGCCCAGCCUUUCGCAUGAUGAAUUCUGCAUAUAAGUUAAAUAAGUGGGGAGACAAUAUACAGCCUUGUCGUACUCCUGUCCCAAUUUUGAACCAAUCAGUUGUUCCAUAUCUAGUUCUAACUGUAGCUUCUUCUCCCACAUAGAGAUUUCUCAGGAGACAGAUGAGGUGAUCAGGCACUCCCAUUUCUUUAAGAACUUGCCAUAGUUUGCUGUGGUUAGCACACUCAAAGGCUUCAGCUGGAAUAUCAUCACCUCCACUGGCCUUGUUAUUAUCAGUGCUUUCUAAGGCCCAUUUGACUUCACUCUCCAGGAUGUCAGCACCCACACUACCUGGGGUGUACGAGCCAUCCUUAUCAUUCUGGUAUAAUUCCUCUGUGUAUUUGUUGGGUGUAGUGAAGGGUUAACCUUCUGUGUCUCGAGGCUGAGAGGAGGCGCUUACAAGGGAAGUAAGCCAGGACAUGACGGAAGCAGCUUGGAAUGCUGUGAGCUGAGUGAAAAGUGAAAGCAGCUUAGUUGCGCAACUGCCACUGAGAGAGAAGGAUGCAAACAGGGAGCAAAAUGCAGCUUCAAUCAGAUGGUGUAUAUGAACUGUAAACAUGCUAUUUCUGAGCAAAUAAAGUGCUACUAGGAAAGAAGAAACGUGUGGGACUCUUUUACUGCCCUUUCUACACGAACCGCUGUGCAAUUCUGCUAAUUGCUUUACAACCUGCAGAGGAGUGCAGGGGAGCGUGCCGGACACCAAGAGUAGAAUCAUAGAAUCAUAGAGUUGGAAGAGACCACAAGGGCCAUCGAGUCCAACCCCCUGCCAAGCAGGAACACCAUCAGAGCACUCCUGUCAUAUGGUUGUCAAGCCUCUGCUUAAAGACCUCCAAAGAAGGAGACUCCACCACACUCCUUGGCAGCAAAUUCCACUGGCAAACAGCUCUUACUGUCAGGAAGUUCUUCCUAAUGUUUAGGUGGAAUCUUCGUUCUUGUAGUUUGGAUCCACUGCUCCGUGUCCACUUCUCUGGAGCAGCAGAAAACAACCUUUCUCCCUCCUCUAUGUGACAUCCUUUUAUAUAUUUGAACAUGGCUAUCAUAUCACCCCUUAACCUCCUCUUCUCCAGGCUAAACAUGCCCAGCUCCCUUAGCUGUUCCUCAUAAGGCAUCGUUUCCAGGCCUUUGACCAUUUUGGUUGCCCUCCUCUGGACACGUUCCAGUUUGUCAAUGUCCUUCUUGAACUGUGGUGCCCAGAACUGGACACAGUACUCCAGGUGAGGUCUGACCAGAGCAGAAUACAGUGGCACUAUUACUUCCCUUGAUCUAGAUGCUAUACUCCUAUUGAUGCAGCCCAGAAUUGCAUUGGCUUUUUAGCUGCCGCGUCACACUGUUGGCUCAUGUCAAGUUUGUGGUCAACCAAGACUCCUAGAUCCUUUUCACAUGUACUGCUCUCAAGCCAGGUGUCCCCCAUCUUGUAUUUGUGCCUCUCCUUUUUUUUGCCCAAGUGCAAUACUUUACAUUUCUCCCUGUUAAAAUUCAUCUUGUUUGUUUUGGCCCAGUUCUCUAAUCUGUCAAGGUCGUUUUGAAGUGUGAUCCUGUCCUCUGGGGUGUUAGCCACCCCUCCCAAUUUGGUGUCAUCUGCAAAUUUGAUCAGGAUGCCCUUGAGUCCAUCAUCCAAGUCGUUGAUAAAGAUGUUGAAUAAGACCGGGCCCAAGACAGAACCCUGUGGCACCCCACUAGUCACUCUUCUCCAGGAUGAAGAGGAACCAUUGAUGAGCACCCUUUGGGUUCGGUCAGUCAGCCAGUUACAAAUCCACUGAGUGGUAGCAUAGUCAAGACCGCAUUUUACCAGCUUCUUUACAAGAAUAUCAUGAGGCACCUUGUCAAAUGCCUUGCUGAAAUCAAGGUAGGCUACAUCCACUGCGUUCCCUUCAUCUACCAGGCUUGUAAUUCUGUCAAAAACGAGAUCAGGUUAGUCUGACAUGACUUAUUUUUCAGAAAUCCAUGCUGACUGUUGGUGAUCACAGCAUUCCUUUCUAGGUGCUCACAGACUGUUUGCUUAAUGAUCUGCUCCAGAAUCUUCCCUGGUAUUGAUGUCAGACUGACUGGGCGGUAAUUAUUUGGGUCCUCUCUUUUCCCCUUUUUGAAAAUAGGGACAACAUUUGCCCUCCUCCAGUCUGCCGGGACUUCGCCUGUUCUCCAGGAAUUCUCAAAGAUGACUGCCAGUGGUUCUGAGAUCACAUCUGCCAGUUCUUUUAAUACUCUUGGAUGCAGUUCAUCUGGUCCUUGAGACUUGAAUACAUCUAAACUAGCCAAGUAUUCUUGUACUAUGUCCUUAGUUAUUCUGGGCUGUGUUUCCUUUGCUGAAUCAUUUGCUCCAAAUUCUUCAGGUCGGGCAUUGUUUUCUUUAUCGGAGAAGACUGAGGCAAAGAAGGCAUUGAGGAGUUCAGCCCUUUCUGUGUCCCCUGUUUGCAUUUCACCAUCUUCUCCUCUGAGUGACCCCACUGUUUCUUUGUUCUUCCUUUUGCUACGGACAUACCCAUAAAAGCCUUUUUGUUGCUUUUAACCUCUCUAGCAAGCCUGAGUUCAUUCUGUGCUUUAGCUUUUCUGACUUUGUGUCUACACGUGCUGGCUAUUUGUUUGAAUUCCUCUUUGGUGGUUUCCCCUUUUUCCAUUUUUUGUACACAUCCUUUUUUAAUCUUAACUCAGUUAAAAGUUCUUUAGAUAGCCACCCUGGCUUCUUUAGGCACCUUCCAUGUUUCUGUCUCAUUGGUAUUGCCUGACAUUGUGCUUUUAGUAUCUCCCUCUUAACAAACUCCCAGCCAUCAUGAACUCCCUUUCCUUUUAGUAUUACUGUCCAUGGGAUCUCACCCAGCACUUCCCUAAGUUUUAUGAAGUCAGCUUUCUUAAAGUCAAGAAAUUGAGUCCUAGUAUGCUUGGCUGCUCCUUUCCGCUGUAUAGUAAACUUCAGAAGAGCAUGAUCACUUGCGCCUAAUGAUCCUUCCACUUCUACCCCACUAACCAGGUCAUCAACAUUGGUUAGGACCAGAUCUAAAAUGGCUGUUCCUCUUGUUGCUUCUCCCACUUUCUGGACAAUGAAGUUGUCUGCAAGGCCAGUGAGGAAUCUGUUUGACCUUAUGCUCUUGGCUGAGUUUGACAUCCAACAAAUAUCCGGGUAAUUGAAGUCCCCCAUUACUACUAUCUCCCUUCCUUUUGCAUGCUUGGCCAUCUGUUCCAGGAAGGCAUCAUCUAUGUCCUCCGUUUGGCUUGGGGAUCUGUAGUAAACUCCCACAAUGAGGUCACUGUUAUUCUUCUCUCCCUUAAUUUUGACCCAAAUGCUCUCACUUUGGUUUUGAGGUUCUAAAUCUUGGAUCUCUUCACAGGUAUACACAUCCCUGACAUAUAACGCCACUCCUCCUCCUUUCUUGUCUGGUCUGUUUCUCUGAAAUAGAUUGUAUCCCCCCAUUAUUACAUUCCAAUCGUGGGACUUAUCCCACCAGGUUUCAGUGAUGCCUAUUAUGUCAUAUUUAGUUUGCUGUACCAAGAGCUCAAGCUCAUCUUGUUUAUUUCCCAUGCUUUGCGCAUGAGUAAAGCAAUAAAUCUUACCUAACAUGGUUAUGGGUCAACGUGAAGCAUGAGAGAAAGGGCUUUGAAGUUUUAUCUGCUGAUUGUCAGCUUGAUCGACUGCCGGAGACUUCAAAGAGGGCAGAUCGGAGGAGGCUGACAGAGAGUGGGAGCCAAGAGCCAUGACGUCCGGAGUUUCCAGUUUGGCUGAGUGAGUACCCUUUGGGAAAAGCCAACAGAAGGAAGCAAUGGCUCAGCCCUGUGAGCAUGGCUUUGAGUUUAAACUGCCAUGUCAGAAACUGACUAGCCAAAAUUGGCUGCAGUGGAGCUUUCAAGUGGAGCUUUUGCUAGUGGGGGAGCAGCAGUGGAAUGUAAUUCACCCCACACAGAAUGCAGCUGGGAAAGCAGAGGCUAAUAGAGCUGCAGAGCAAAGUGAAGUGGAGAAGCGUGUGCUUGCUUUUUUGGCAGAAAGUGUGGAUGCUCAUCUGGUGCCUGUUGUCCUGGGUGCAAGAAAGCCAGAGGCCGCUUGGCUAGCACUCCAAGAAGCUUGUGGAGCUGGAGUGGGAAGCAAGGGCCGAGAAGUGGCUGCAUCUGAAAGGGAGAGGCAAGAUGGCGCCGGCCACAUUCUUGAGAGCUGUGAGCCCCCACAGGGGGGCGAAGGGACUGUUGCUGUUGUUGUUGCUAGCACUGCUGCUUGUGCUUUUGCUGAGCCUGGGAGCUGUGUGGAUGCUGCAACGUGUCUGUGUGAAGAACCUGGACAGAGGCCAAGUGUUGGGAGCCCUUUACCCUUCAGAGGGGGUGCAGAAAAACGUCCUCGAGACCCCAUGAGCAGUGGGGGGGCAGUGAGCAGUGAAAGCUCAGAGACGCCUCUUUCUCCAAAAGCUGCCAAGAGUUGUUUACGUCGUGAGUCGGAGCCUGGGAAGCUGAAAAGUGCUAGAGGCUUCAAGGUCAGCCACCUGCAUCAAGUAGAGAUAAGAGCUUCAGAGUUGUGUGGGAACGCCGAGACAAGUCCAGUCUCCAUGGCAACUGAGAGAGUUGCAUCUACGGCAACUGUGAAGGUCGUGGGCAAGUCUUCCUGCCGGGGGGAGUCUGUUGCCGUGACAACCAGAGAGGACAUCUGCAGAAGCCCCAAGGAGGGGGGUAGUGAGGAGAUUGUUGCCCUGGCGACCCAGGAAUGUAAACAACAAGACUUUCUCACUAUAAUUAUCGACAGUGGUGCCUCAAAUUCGCUAGUGCCAUCUGCUGAUCUUUUGAGGAAUUGCAGGACAGUAAAAACUGAGAAGUAUGUUACGUUUGCAGGUGGAAGCAGAAAAAGGCUGACAGAGACAGGACUGUUCUUCUGUCCUUUUCUUAAGCAUGAAGUCAAAGCUUAUGCAGUGCCCGGUUUAACUAACUGUUUGUUAAGUGUGCAUGAUCUAUUGAUUGAUAAUUUUCAAAUUUCUUUUGCAGGUGACAAAUGUGAAUUCUCCAAGGAUGGGAAACACGUGUACACAGUGCAGUCUAAAGAUAAUUUGUUUGCUGUAAAUGUGCCUUUUUCCACAGGAGAGGAUGACACCGAAGAUGCGAAGGGCCAAUGUGUGAAUGUAGCGCCCCACAAUGGUUGUACACAUAUUUGGCACCGAUGCUUCGCUCAUUUGAAUUGGAGAUUUCUCCAGAAAGCACCAGAGCGGACACAAGGGUGCAAAUUUAAUGUUUGUGACAAAUUUCUAGAUUGCAAUGCAUGUAAACAGGCGAAAGUUGUGACAUGCUCAUAUCCAAAGUCAGAGAGGCAGACCACAGAACCCUUUGAAUUAAUUCAUGCAGAUUUGUGUGGACCCAUGUCUGUUGAGUCACUGGGAGGUUCAAGUAUUCUUUGCUUUUGAUUGAUGAUUUUUCGAGGUCUGCUUGGACCUUCUCUCUGAAAACGAAAGGGAGGCGGCUAAAAUGAUCAGGGAUUGGAUCACUGCAGUUGAGGUAACUUUUUCCACCAAAGUUCGUGGUUUUCAAAGUGACAGAGGUGCUGAAUUCACUGGUUCUGCUUUACAGGAUUUCUUUAGGGAGAAGGGGAUUAGCCACAGACUGACCGCUCCUUACUCUCCGCAACAGAAUGGGGUGGCAGAGAGAAAGAACAGGACGGUGCAGGAAGCUGUGUCUGCGAUCCUGUGGGACGCAGGGCUACCCCAGAAAUUUUGGUCGGAGGCUUGGCGAUAUGUGGUCCAUACCGAGAACAGAGUGUACAACUCUAGUGUAGGAAAUACACCGUAUUUCUUACUUCAUGGACGGAAGCCUAAGGUACACUACCUUCGUGUGUUUGGUUGUGAGGCUUGGGUGCUUAUUCCAAAGGCUCUACGCAAGAAAGGUGAGCCAAGAUCUAAAAGAAUGAUCUUUGUAGGGUAUGAGCCUGGCUCAAAGGCCUGGAGGUUUGCGUACCCAAGUGGAGACCAGUCUAGGUUGGUUAUCAGCAAUAGCGCUGAGUUCUGUGAGCAAGCUGGUUGGAAACGUCUGCACGCUAAUCCAGACGUGCUUCCACAGCAGUUCUAUGACUCAGACGAGGAGGAGGAGGAACUUGGAGCUGGGGACCACGGUCCAAGGCAGGGACAGCUCAGGAUCCCUCAGAGGGGGGAACCUAGAACACCUCCUCAGGCAAGUGUCAAGUUUGAGCCAAAGAGUGAGCCUUCUUCACCUGCUGGACCAGCUGUAAGGCCCAAGAGGCACAGCAGGUCAGAGGGGGAAGACACUGAAGUUGAGGAUGAUUUAGCUGGACCCAGUGAAGCGGCAGGGUCACCAGGAGUCACACUGAGGAGAUCAGCGAGGACAAGGAGGCCUCCUGAUCGGUACGACGCUUCAGGCGUCUGGGUAGGUUCUGCAAGAUGUGAACCUGAAUCCUUCGAGGAUAUUCAGAGUUUACCUGAGGAAGAAGCAGGCAAGUGGCACAGAGCAAUGGACAAAGAGAUGAAGUCCAUGAAAGAUCUAGGUGUCAAUGUUGAGCGUGCACAGGAUGGAAGUUUUUUGCUCAGCCAGAGAGGUAAAAUUGAGCAAUUGCUUCAGAAGUUCAGGAUGAGUGAUUGUGCAGGAGUGAGAAGUCCUAUGGAGACUAGUUUUGUGAAGGACAGCCAGCAAGCAGAACGCGCUGCGUUCGAAAAUACUGAAGUGUUUCAGUCAGCUCUAGGGAGUUUGUUGUACUUGUCCCAAUGGAGCAGACCUGAUAUAGCGUUUGCUGCCAAUCUGCUCAGCAGGGAAGCAUCAAACCCUAGUGUGCAAGCCUGGAAUGGCAUCAAGAGAGUUCUGAGGUAUUUGCAGGAGACCAAAGACUUUUGUCUUAGGUUGCCAGCACAAGGAGAAGUCAAACUGACUUGCUUUGUGGACUCGGAUUGGGCUAAUCUUGAGGAUCGCAAGUCUGUGUCUGGCCUAGUGGUGAAGUUUGGGAACUCAGUAGUUGGGUGGAGAUCCAAGAAGCAAAGUCUUAUAGCGCUCUCAUCCACUGAGGCUGAGUUUAGUGCUCUUUCAGAGAUGUGCAGAGAAGUAGAGUUCUAUGCUUGUUUGGUGCAGGAACUCUGCGAAGUGGAUUGUCUGCCGAUACGUGUUUUCGAGGACAAUCAACCAUGCCUGCGUUUGGCAGAGUCAGGUCAGUUCAAGGCCAGAACGAAACACCUAGACAUUCGCUUUCGGAAUGUGUGCCAAAGUGUUCAGGAGGGAUUAGUUGCGCUGAAGUAUUGUCCCUCUGCCAAGAAUCUAGCUGAUGGGUUCACGAAGCCACUCACCUUCCAAAGACAUGGGGAGUUUUGUGAAGGUCUGUGUUUGGGACGACCAAGGGUCGAUUCUCCCCUCAGGCGCGAGACAAGAGGGGGUGUUGGGUGUAGUGAAGGGUUAACCUUCUGUGUCUCGAGGCUGAGAGGAGGCGCUUACAAGGGAAGUAAGCCAGGACGUGACGGAAGCAGCUUGGAAUGCUGUGAGCUGAGUGAAAAGUGAAAGCAGCUUAGUUGCGCAGCUGCCACUGAGAGAGAAGGAUGCAAACAGGGAGCAAAAUGCAGCUUCAAUCAGAUGGUGUAUAUGAACUGUAAAUAUGCUAUUUCUGAGCAAAUAAAGUGCUACUAGGAAAGAAGAAACGUGUGGGACUCUUUUACUGCCCUUUCUACACAAACCGCUGUGCAAUUCUGCUAAUUGCUUUACAACCUGCAGAGGAGUGCAGGGGAGCGUGCCGGACACCAAGAGUAAAGCAAUAAAUCUUACCUAACAGUAUUCUUGCCACCUCUUCUUGAUGUCUUCUGCUUCUGUUAGAUCCUUACCACUUUUGUCCUUUAUUAUGGUAAUCUUUGUACGAAAUGUUCAUUUCAUAUCUACAACUUUCUUGAACAGAUCUCUGGUUCUUCGCAUUCUGUUGUUUUCCUCUGUUUCUUUGCAUUGCUCGUUUAAGAAGGCCUUCUUGUCUCUCCUUGCUAUUUUUUGGAAAUCUGCAUUCAAUUUCCUGUAUCUUUCACUAUCUCCCUCCCAUUUUGCUUGCCUUCUCUCCCCCGCUAUUUGUAAGGCCUCGUUAGACAGCCACUUUGCUUUAUUGCAUUUCCUUUUCAUUGGGAUGGUUUUUGUUGCUGCCUCCUGUAUAAUGUUACGAGCCGCCAUCCAUAGUUCUUCAGGCACUCUGUCCACCAAAUCUAAAUCCAUAAACCUGUUCCUCACUUCCACUGUGUAUUCAUAAGGGAUUUGAUUUAGAUUGUAUCUUACCCACCCAGUGGUUUUUCCUACUUUCUUCAGUUUAAGCUUGAAUUUUGCUAUAAGAAGCUGACGAUCUGAGCCAUAGUCAGCUCCAGGUCUUGUUUUUGCUGACUGUAUAGAGCUUCUCCAUCUUUGGCUGCAGGGAAUAUAAUCAAUCUGAUUUCGAUGCUGCCCAUCUGGUGAUGUCCAUGUGUAGAGUCGUCUCUUGUGCUGUUGGAAAAGAGUGUUUGUGAUGACCAGCUUGUUCUCUUGGCAGAACUCUAUUAGCUUUUGCCCUGCUUCGUUUUGAACUCCAAGGCCAAACUUGCCAGUUGUUCCUUUUAUCUCUUGAUUCCCUACUUUAGCAUUCCAAUCCCCUAUAAUGAGAAGAACAUCCUUCUUUGGUGUCAUUUCUAGAAGGUGUUGUAAGUCUUCAUAGAACUGAUCAAUUUCAGUUUCUUCAGCACCAGUAGUUGGUGCAUAAACUUGGAUUACUGUGAUGUUAAAAGGUCUGCCUUGGAUUCGUAUCGAGAUCAUUCUAUCAUUUUUGAGAUUGCAUCCCAGUACAGCUUUCACCACUCUUUUGUUGACUAUGAGGGCCACUCCAUUUCUUUUACAGGAUUCUUGCCUACAGUAGUAGAUAUGAUGGUCAUCCGAACUGAAAUUGCCCAUUCCCGUCCAUUUUAGUUCACUGAUGCCCAGGAUGUCAAUAUUUAUUCUUGCCAUCUCAUUUUUGACCACAUCCAACUUGCCCAGGUUCAUGGUUCUUACAUUCCAGGUUCCUAUGCAAUAUUUUUCUUUACAACAUUGGACUUUCCUUUCGCUUUCAGGCAUAUCCGCAACUGAGCGACCUUUCGGCUUUGGCCCAGCCACUUCAUCAGCUCUGAAUCUACUUGUACUUGUUCUCCGCUCUUCCUCAGUAGCAUGUUGGACGCCUUCUGACCUGAGGGGCUCAUCUUCCAGCGCCAUAACUUAUAUAUGCCUGUUGUCUUUGUCCAUGGAGUUUUCUUGGCAGGGAUACUGGAGUGGCUUGCCGGUUCCUGCUCCAGGUGGAUCACGUUUGGUCAAAACUCUCCACUAUGAACUGUCCAUCUUGGGUGGCCCUGCACGGCAUAGCUCAUAGCUUCUCUGAGUUAUUCAAGCCCCUUCGCCACGGCAAGGCAGUGAUCCAUGAAGGAGAAUAUACUAUUACUGUGUUGAUAACAUGUUGCUGCUUGCAGAACAUGCCCAAAAUAAAACCUCUGUCUGGAGGGGGUCCCUAGUGAUGCUGGAAGCAGACCAGAGAGUUAACAUUCAGGGUUCAUCCCCACUUCUGUUUGUGCUGCAAUUUCUAGGCACAGGUCUGAGUGCUGGGGUUUUUUGCCCUGCAGCUUUCCCCAGGAAAAUUUGCUGUUUACUGCUAAAUUGAAACAAACAUCGGUUGGGUCUUCCACAGAGUGACGCUUGUUCCGAUUCAAGCCUACUAGGCCUGAAUCAAACAGGAGUGAGGAUGAGCAGUCAGUGGAGGGGAAACCUUCUCUCAUUUGAGUGCCUUCUGCAGGCAAUCUCUUGCUUGUGUGCUCAGCCUUUGCUAAACUGUAAAGAAUUACUUUUUGCACCACACGGAAACUUUCUCCUUCAUGGCCCUUGAUCUGCUCCUUUCACCUGACCCCGUAAUUAAAUCCCUGCGUGAGGCCCUUGUUGGUGUGACAUCACAUGCCCUUGCCAUGGGGCAGUUGGCACAUAUCAUGGAAGGGGGCAGUCAGAAAGCCUUGCUGGCUCUAAAGGGUCUCAUCAUUCACAGAUGGGAGAUAAGUGUCUGCUUGAAGGCCCCCUCCAUCCAUGCUGGCAGGGAAUAAGGCAGGAAAUGAGAUUUGGAAAAGGCUGUAAAAGGCAGAGAUAGAGGAGGUAAGGAGAGGGAAAGGGAAGCACAUCUUACAAACCACGAAUGCUGCGUGGUUCCAUUCCAGAUAACGGGGCCACUUACACACCACCCAAAGGAGGACCAGGUUCCAUGAAAAUGAUAAGAAAUAUUUGCAUAGUGUGGGGAGUGGUUAGAACUUUGGGCUUGGGCCUGGAGACCAGGGUUCCAUUCCCCACUCACUGGGUGACUUCAGGCCUCUCAGACAGACCCACCUUACAAGAUGGUUGUGAGGAUAAAAUGGGCAGGGGAAAAGACCUGCAUGCAACACUGAGCUUUGUGGAGGAAAGGUGGGUUAUAAAUGUAAAUUAAAAAAUAAAUAAAUAAAUAAUAGCAGCAGAUGCUUAUUUUAUAUACAUAGAUGGAAUCUUUGAAAUGAUUGCUACAGUUUAAAUUAGAAAUACACACCAGAGUAAUACACUAUAUCUCACCAUGGUGAGAAGACUGUGACUAGGUAACUUUUGUGCCUUCAUAAAUUCAUUCCAUGUCAUAUUAAGAAGGGGAUUUUUUUAUGUCAUUGUCAGAAUUAAUCCCUACCUAGGGGUCUCCCUGGAGGAGAAGCAAGGGUGAAGGAUCUACUUCCAGCAGAGCUCCGCACUACCAGUGGCCCUGAGGAGUUGUGCAAUCCAGACAUCUCCACUUCCUGCAUGGUUCUGGGAUGGCUUCAUUCCCAGAGCUACAGGAGCAGAGGAGACAGUGAGCCAGAGGCUGUUCAGGAAGCCCAGGAAGCUCAUCUAAGCCUCUGCCCAGGUCAAGACCUUUCCAAGAGCUAGGAAGGGGUGGAACUGCCUGUGCCUAUGUAAGCCCUCAGCCUGAGCUACAGCACUGGACAGUUGCAGUGGCGUGCGGUCACUGGACUAAGGAGACUAGGCCUGUCCCUGAAAGGGUCCAAGAGUCCUCCCACCACCUUCCCAAAUCUCACCUGGCUUUAGGAAGGAGGCAGCAGGGCUCCAGCAUCCUGUCAGAGUCCUGGCGCCUCCUUCCCAAAGCCCAGGAAGCUUCUGCCCAGCUUAGGGAGGGAGGCACAAUGCUCAUGCGCAUGAUGUCAGGACAUCAUGCAUGCAACAUUGCUGCCACCCCACCCCACCCCACAUCACCCUCACAAGCUGGCACCUCUGGCCCUAACUGUUCCUCUACGAAAAAUGUCACUGCCCACCACUGGAUGGCCGUGAACCUAUUGCUAAUCAACAGCAUUAGGUGACUCCAAAGUUCAAGUACUAGGGAGGGAGCACACUUCUUUAGCCACAAGCCCCUGCACAACAUUGUUGUAUAAACCUCCUAUUGUGUUCCUGUUGCAGCUCAGUCCUUUAUGCAAGGAAGCCCUACUGAAGUCAGUGUGGGGCUGACUCCAAGCUAAAUGCACAUAGAAGUGUGGUUUUAAAAGUCAUUUCUAGAAACUGAAAAGCCUCAGAUGUGGUAUUUCCCUUUCUUCCUGCAGUCCCUGAUGUCUGUGGUUCCCCUUGAAAGUAGCUUCACCCCUAUGAUAACCUUCUGGAGAUGGAACUGGACACAAUAUCCCAAGUGGGGCUGCAGGAUCUAAGAACAUUAUGAUCUGUGCACAUUAUUAUUUUCAAUCCUUUUCGCCAAGUCUCAGUGUGGCUUGUCAGAACAGGAAGGUGGAGGGCAUCUCUGCUGUGUUUGAGCAAAAUAUUCCAUCCUAAGCUACAAACCUCAAGAAUGGCUUAUGGUUUCUAUGAAAGGGAGAUGGCUUGUUAGUUCAUCUUUGGCUUUGGGGGCUUCUCUGAGGAAAGGCAAGUCCCAGCCGCUCCCUGAGGGCCCAGCUGGUUUCUGUGAUGUAGAGAGUUAAAAGGGAUGCCAGCCUUCCUUAAAUUUACUACAGAGUGUUUCUCAGUGAAGCAUUUAAAAGCAGCAGCAACAAAAACAUCAAAAACCUUUGCAAUGCAAAGGAGGUUUUGAACUAAUGGGAAACAUUAAUAAAGCUCAUCUCAAUCAGCACAAGGCCAGAAAGAGACAGUUUGGGCGGCAGGCUAAUUAAACACUGUGAUGUUGUCUCUCUUUUCUUCCCCUCCACUGUCACCAGAGCAUGCUGCCUCCUUUCAGAGGAUGGUCUGACUCACAGAAAGUUAAGUUCUGACGACGUUGGGAGCAGCGUGGGCCAGGAAAGAGGAAAUGCACCGCUGAUGAGUCCAAGCAAAGUGGUGGAGGUGGUUGACGUGACGUGCAGCACGUAUCACUCGUGUCUCCUUGUGCUUUUGUGGCAUGCAUGAGCCUUGAGUCUCAAGUGAGAGCAUUUUAGUUUACUCCAUCACUGGGGGCAAACCUCCCUGGUCUGCAUCCAGAUGGAACAAGCUGGGAUCGGAAUGUGGAAGUGCAGACUAAACCACAUGCCUACAAAACACUCCAAGCACAGUUCACUCCAGCUUAUGCCUGUUUGUUUUUAUGAGACAGUAGAGGGCAAAAGUGGUAAGGACUUAACAGAAGCAGAAGACAUCAAGAAGAGGUGGCAAUAAUACCCAGAGGAAUUACCAUACCAGAAAGAUAUGGAUGUCUCGUACACCCCAGGUAGUGUGGUUGCUGACCUUGAGCCAGACAUCCUGGAAAGUGAAGUCAAAUGGGCCUUAGAAAGCACUGCAAAUAACAAGGCCAGUGGAAGUGAUGACAUUCCAGCUGAACUAUUAAAAUUUUUAAAAAGAUGAUGCUGUUAAGGUACUACACUCAAUAUGCCAGCAAGUUUGGAAAACUCAGCAGUGGCCAGAGGAUUGGAAAAGAUCAAUCUACAUCCCAAUCCCAAAGAAGGGCAGUGCCAAAGAAUGCUCCAACUACCGCACAAUUGCACUCAUUUCACAUGCUAGCAAGAUUAUGCUAAAAAUUCUACAAGGUAGGCUUAAGCAGUAUGUAGACCAAGGACUCCAGAAGUGCAAGCUGGAUUACAAAGGGGCAGAGGAAAACCAGAGACCAAAUUGCAAACAUGCGCUGGAUUGUGGAGAAAGCUAGAGAGUUCCAGAAAAACAUCUACUUCUGCUUCAUUGACUAUGCAAAAGCCUUUGAGUGUGUUGACCACAGCAAACUAUGGCAAGUUCUUAAAGGAAUGGGAGUGCCUGAUCACCUCAUCUGUCUCCUGAGAAAUCUCUAUGUGGGAGAAGAAGCUACAGUUAGAACUGGAUAUGGAACAACUGAUUGGUUCAAAAUUGGGACAGGAGUACGACAAGGCUGUAUAUUGUCUCCCUGCUUAUUUAACUUAUAUGCAGAAUUCAUCAUGCGAAAGGCUGGGCAGGAUGAAUCCCAAGCCGGAAUUAAGAUUGCCGGAAGAAAUAUCAACAACCUCAGAUAUGCAGAUGACACAACUUUGAUGGCAGAAAGUGAGGAGGAAUUAAAGAACCUUUUAAUGAGGGUGAAAGAGGAGAACGCAAAAUAUGGUCUGAAGCUCAACAUCAAAAAUACAAAGAUCAUGGCCACUGGUCCCAUCACCUCCUGGCAAAUAGAAGGGGAAGAAAUGGAGGCAGUGAGAGAUUUUACUUUCUUGGGCUCCAUGAUCACUGCAGAUGGUGACAGCAGCCACGAAAUUAAAAGACGCCUGCUUCUUGGGAGAAAAGCAAUGACAAACCUAGACAGCAUCUUAAAAAGCAGAGAUAUCACCUUGCCAACAAAGGUCCAUAUAGUAAAAGCUAUGGUUUUCCCAGCAGUGAUGUAUGGAAGUGAGAGCUGGACCAUAGAGAAGGCUGAUCGCCAAAGAAUUGAUGCUUUUGAAUUAUGGUGCUGAAGGAGAGUCCCAUGCAAGAAGAUCAAACCUAUCCAUUCUUAAGGAAAUCAGUCUUGGAGUGCUCACUGAGUGCUCACUGGAAGGACAGAUCGUGAAGCUGAGGCUCCAAGACUUUGGCCACCUCAUGAGAAGAGAAGACUUCCUGGAAAAGACCCUGAUGUUGGGAAAGAUGGAGGGCACAAGGAGAAGGGGAUGACAGUGUUCUCAAAGCUGUUAACAUGAGUUUCACCAAACUGCAGGAGGCAGCGGAAGACAGGAGUGCCUGGCGUGCGAAGAGCUGGAUACGACUAAACGACAAUAACAGAGGACGCUGUGCAGAAAAAAAGAUGGCUGUUUCCAUAGGUACAUAGGUACAUUUCUUCCUGUUUCUGAUGAAUUUUCAUGAGGAUUUAAAAAUACGAUCACAAACUGAUGUGGGAGUGUGCAGAACUGAACUGGAAACUGGAAAAAAGGAGAAAUUAAGAGAAAUUGGACACAUUAUAUUAUUAAAUAAUUAAUUAUCAUUUAAACUCUAAAUCACUCUUUUUUCCAAACGUAUUAUUGUGUGUUGCUGUGAUCACAUACACUGAAACUAGUAUAAAAACUAAAAUUUGAACAGGCAAUCAUAUUUUUAAAAGGCAGGAUUAAAACAUUCCUCCCACUCAAGGAGGCCACAGAUAAUUAAAAGCCAAAGGCCUGGCAGCAAAUGUUUUUGCCUGGUGCCUAAAGAUAUGCGGUGAUGGUGCCUGCAAGCCUUCCCGGGUAGAGCAUUCCACAAGCAGGGAGUCACCACUGAGAAGGCCCGAUCUCGUCUUGCCACCCUCUGGCCCUCCCAUAGAGGGGGGCCAUAUGGUGAAGGGCCUCCGAUGACAAUAGCGGGGUCUAGGCUGGUUCAUAAGGGAAGAGAAGAUCCUUGAGGUAUCGGGGUCCUGAGCCACAUAAAACGCUUUGGGUCCAAACCAGCACUAUGAAACUAAUUGGUGGAGGCUUCCGGUUUCUGUCGCAAGCAGAAAGGGAGCGCAGAAAACCCUCGGAGGAGUUUUCUGAGUAAUACAGGGGCUUGGGGGAGCCGCAAAGACACUGCGCCCCCCAAAAAUCUCAAGGGGGAGACCCUUGAGGGAUAAGAUACCCAGCCGCGUGGAAGCGGUUUCGUUGUUUUUUCGGGUUUUUUUUUCUUUGGAAGAUCUCGAGGGCGGCGAGACUGCAAGCACAAAAGGGAAAGCAUCGACCCUGUAUUACGAUGCCUCUGGCUCUCACUGAAGAAAGCGACGAACCUCCAAAAUUGUAAGAACGGAACCCUUAGUGUGAGUAGACUUUUUUUAUGCUAUAAAAUCUAAAAAUGCACUAAGAGAACGUUGGAUGUUAGAAGAUUUAAUUCAGGAACUCACCUCGGCGGAGGAUUAAAAUGGCGCAGGCUACGAAGUCGCAAGGAGGAGGAAGGAAGUAUCCCUUUGCCUGACUGAGUGAAUACAAAGUAAACGUCUCGGACUCUACUGUCGAGAUUAAAGAAUCUGAAACAUUCCACUAAUUGGGAACUCUGUUUGCCGUUUUCGGGGGAGUAAGAAAGAGAAAGGAAACUUUACAGACCCGUGUAAUAUAAAACUUUUUAGAGCCGCAUAAAAGGACAGUUGGAAGGAGUGGGGGGGGGAAAGAGAAGAGAUUAGAAGGAGAUUAGAAGGACAGUUUGAAAAACGGCUCAAAGAGACAAAAAGAGAAACCCUGAAAAGAAAUUUUCCUCACUCUGGGACUUUUUCUAUGAACGUUAGAGUGGCUUGGAUAGAAAACCUAAGAAUCUUACCCUCUGUCUUUUCCUACCUUUUUUUUUUCUUCUUCCCUAUUUUACUGCUUUCCAUUUUCUGCCUUCUUUUCUUCCCCCCUCUGUUCUCUCCCAAAAUAACAUAAUUAACAACUCAUCUUUCCUACCCCCAGUUUUGAGAAAAAUUUAACCUGACCUCACCAUCGGCAGGAUUUGAUCCAGUUCAAGACGCUUACCCACAUCUCGAGUUAAUCAAUCAUUUGAACUCUAACAAUUCAGAAAAGUAAAUUAUUUGAACAUUAAUAACUCAAAAAGGCUAUAGAACACACAAAGAGUUUAUAUAUUGAAUAUAUUGAAUAACCUCAGACCCUGAAAGUUGGGCACCAUCUCACUCUUUUUUUGAAUACUUAUUGAAAUAUAUACAUCCCCCUCCAGGAUUACAAAGACUGAUUUCACAGAACUAAGGACCUGAGGUAAAUAGACGGUAAUGAUUGUCUGAAAAUAUCCUUUGUGAAGGGGACUAGGCCGACGAGUGGCUGAAAUUACAGAAUUUGAUAGAGACUGAACAAUUUUCCUUGGACUACAAAAAGAGACUACCACUUUUGAUUUUUGUCUAUAUUUGUGUUCUUUGUUCUUCUGUUUUUGGAACUAACAUACUAAUAUACUAAUAUACUAACACAAUCAAAUUUAUGUUGGCACAAGGUCACUGAUAAGGCUAAUGGGAUUGGACAAUAUUGAAUAAGUUAAUGAAAGACUUCUCUCUUCUUUUGGGGGGAAAAGCUGGAUUGAAUUUAAGGGGGACAUGAUACUAAGGAAAACAAAGAGAUAUAAGGAAAGUGAUAUAAGAACAGAUAAAUAAAAGUGUUGAAAAGACAGAAAGGGUAAAAGAGAGAUUGUGCGCCCUCUAGGGGAGAGAGUAAAAAAUAAAGUUGGUUAUUGAGAAAUUAACCGCAAAAUGUUGGGGAAAACGGGAAAAAAGUAGGAGGGACGCCAGGAGAGAGAAAGGCAUCCCGACAGGAGGAAAUUAGAGAUUUAGACAUUUUAUGGUUAAAGAUUAAGAAGGAAUUUCAACAAAGUGAAUUACAUAUGGAAAGCAAAUUAGGAGAGAUACAGGAACAGAUAGACAGGAAAAUUGAGGGUGCUGUAGGAGAACUCUCUAGCAAGAUACAAGACUUGACAGUUAAGUCAAAAAUAAUUGAAGAAACAAAUAAAAGAAAUCAAAAAGAAUUGAAGGACCAAAAGAAGGAGACAGAAAAUUAAAGAAAGAAAUAAAAGACUUAAAUAAAACGCAAGAUCAAUUAUGGGACAAUCUAGCCAUGACAGAAAUGCGUCAGAAACAACUCAAUUUAAAAUUUAGAGGUGUAGCAGAAGAAGUAAACGAGAACAUAAGAGAAAAAAUGAUAAAAGAACUUGCAAAAUGGUUGGAGAUAAAAGAAGAACAAGUAGCAUACACGAUAGAAAGUGCGUUCAGAAUAAGAGUGAAAUCCCAACCAAUUAAAUCAAAAAAACUUCCCGGUGAUUGUUUAGUUAUAUUUAACUCAAUUGAAAUGAAGAAUACAAUACUAAGAACAAGCUACCAAAGAAAGUUAGAAUCAUAGAAUCAUAGAAUCAUAGAAUCAUAGAGCUGGAAGAGACCACAAGGGCCAUCGAGUCCAACCCCCUGCCAAGCAGGAAACACCAUCAGAGCACUCCUGACAUAUGGUUGUCAAGCCUCUGCUUAAAGACCUCCAAAGAAGGAGACUCCACCACACUCCUUGGCAGCAAAUUCCACUGUCGAACAGCUCUUACUGUCAGGAAGUUCUUCCUAAUGUUUAGGUGGAAUCUUCUUUCUUGUAGUUUGGAUCCAUUGCUCCGUGUCCGCUUCUCUGGAGCAGCAGAAAACAACCUUUCUCCCUCCUCUAUGUGACAUCCUUUUAUAUAUUUGAACAUGGCUAUCAUAUCACCCCUUAGCCUCCUCUUCUCCAGGCUAAACAUGCCCAGCUCCCUUAGCCGUUCCUCAUAAGGCAUCGUUUCCAGGCCUUUGACCAUUUUGGUUGCCCUCCUCUGGACACGUUCCAGUUUGUCAGUGUCCUUCAUGAACUGUGGUGCCCAGAACUGGACACAGUACUCCAGGUGAGGUCUGACCAGAGCAGAAUACAGUGGCACUAUUACUUCCCUUGAUCUAGAUGCUAUACUCCUAUUGAUGCAGCCCAGAAUUGCAUUGGCUUUUUUAGCUGCCGCGUCACACUGUUGGCUCAUGUCAAGUUUGUGGUCAACCAAGACUCCUAGAUCCUUUUCACAUGUACUGCUCUCAAGCCAGGUGUCCCCCAUCUUGUAUUUGUGCCUCUCCUUUUUUUUGCCCAAGUGCAAUACUUUACAUUUCUCCCUGUUAAAAUUCAUCUUGUUUGUUUUGGCCCAGUUCUCUAAUCUGUCAAGGUCGUUUUGAAGUGUGAUCCUGUCCUCUGGGGUGUUAGCCACCCCUCCCAGUUUGGUGUCAUCUGCAAAUUUGAUCAGGAUGCCCUUGAGUCCAUCAUCCAAGUCGUUGAUAAAGAUGUUGAAUAAGACCGGGCCCAAGACAGAACCCUGUGGCACCCCACUAGUCACUCUUCUCCAGGAUGAAGAGGAACCAUUCAUGAGCACCCUUUGGGUUCGGUCAGUCAGCCUGUUACAAAUCCACUGAGUGGUAGCAUAGUCAAGACCACAUUUUACCAGCUUCUUUACAAGAAUAUCAUGAGGCACCUUGUCAAAUGCCUUGCUGAAAUCAAGGUAGGCUACAUCCACUGCGUUCCCUUCAUCUACCAGGCUUGUAAUUCUGUCAAAAACGAGAUUAGGUUAGUCUGACAUGACUUAUUUUUCAGAAAUCCAUGCUGACUAUUGGUGAUCACAGCAUUCCUUUCUAGGUGCUCACAGACUGUUUGCUUAAUGAUCUGCUCCAGAAUCUUCCCUGGUAUUGAUGUCAGACUGACUGGGCGGUAAUUAUUUGGGUCCUCUCUUUUCCCUUUUUGAAAAUAGGGACAACAUUUGCCCUCCUCCAGUCUGCCGGGACUUCGCCUGUUCUCCAGGAAUUCUCAAAGAUGACUGCCAGUGGUUCUGAGAUCACAUCUGCCAGUUCUUUUAAUACUCUUGGAUGCAGUUCAUCUGGCCCUGGAGACUUGAAUACAUCUAAACUAGCCAAGUAUUCUUGUACUAUCUCCUUAGUUAUUCUGGGCUGUGUUUCCUUUGCUGAAUCAUUUGCUCCAAAUUCUUCAGGUCGGGCAUUGUUUUCUUUAUCGGCGAAGACUGAGGCAAAGAAGGCAUUGAGGAGUUCAGCCCUUUCUGUGUCCCCUGUUUGCAUUUCACCAUCUUCUCCUCUGAAUGACCCCACUGUUUCUUUGUUCUUCCUUUUGCUACGAACAUACCCAUAAAAGCCUUUUUGUUGCUUUUAACCUCUCUAGCAAGCCUGAGUUCAUUCUGUGCUUUAGCUUUUCUGACUUUGUGUCUACACGUGCUGGCUAUUUGUUUGAAUUCCUCUUUGGUGGUUUCCCCCUUUUCCAUUUUUGUACACAUCCUUUUUAAUCUUAACUCAGUUAAAAGUUCUUUAGAUAGCCACCCUGGCUUCUUUAGGCACCUUCCAUGUUUCCAUCUCAUUGGUAUUGCCUGACGUUGUGCUUUUAGUAUCUCCCUCUUAACAAACUCCCAGCCAUCAUGAACUCCCUUUCCUUUUAGUAUUACUGUAUUUAGUAUUAAUGAUUGGAGGCUGCCCAAUUAUUAUUUUUAAAGAAAUUCCAAUCAGGAUUCUGCGCAAAAGGGAAGGAUAUAGACAAAUAACAAAUGUUCUGAAGAGAAAUACAAUACAGUAUAAAUGGGAAUUCCCAGAAGGGAUCUCCUUCUUUUAUAAGAACAAAAGGUUUAAAUUGACAGACAUACAAGAAGUGGAAAAGUUUCUGAGAAGAUAUGAAAAGGAUCUUGGAAAAGAAGAAGAAAGACCUGCAGGAGGAGAGAUGAACGUAGAGGAGAGGAGGGGAAGAGGGGGGAAAGAGGCUGAAGGGACGGAGAGGAGGGGAGGAGAAGUAGAGGGAGAGGUGGAGGAGCUGGAAUCGGGGGAGGAAGAGGAGGGGGAAGACGAAGAAACCACUGGAAAUAGCAGUACUAGAAUUUAAAUUAGAAAUUAGGAUAAAGUGUACGCUAGUCAAAUAUUGAAAUGACCCUUAAGUUUUUGUCCUGGAAUCUGAACGGUCUCAACGAAAAGUCUAAGAGAAAUAAAUUUGAGAAAAUUAUAAAGAAAAAAAAACAUUGAUGUGAUUUGUUGCCAAGAAACACAUGUCGCCAAAAAACACAAACAUAUUCUAAUAAAUAAAAAGUUGGGAAAAGAGUUUAUCAACUCAGAUUCUAAGGAAAAAAAAGGGGUAGUGUCAGAGCUGCUUCCAGAUCCUAGCUCACAGAGGAUCACGCUAGCCAGCGAUCAUUAAGCAAAAGUCUUUAUUGAGUUACAGUUUCCAUUCUCAAGCUGCUGCGUGCAACUCUACGUCUCAUGCUUAGACCGGCGAAGCUCCGUCUGAGUCUCCGCCCCUUGUACACCAACUUAAUAUCCUAGCCCUGCUCCACCUUUUCCGCCUGACUGUUCUUCUCUGGGUCCCUCUGCCCCCCGGGGUCUCUUCCUUCCGGGAUUCCUCUGACGCUGACGCUGACUCCCCUGACUCUUCUCCCUCCUUUCGGCGGGCUUUGGGACCUGGCUCCCUUUCCGGGCUGCCUACUGCGCCACCUUCCUGUGCAUUUGAACUUGGCGCGCGCGCCCAACCUUCCACCUUCCGUCUGACCGUUUCUUCGCUCCCCGAUGGAGGUGUG